rnacentral:lncRNA from 1 species
CUCUAAGCCAGACUUGAUCACCUGUCUGGAGCAAAAUAAAGAGCCCCAGAAUAUAAAGAGAAAUGAGAUGGUAGCCAAACACCCAGUUACAUGUUCUCAUUUCACCCAAGACCUUCAGUCAGAGCAGGGCAUAAAAGAUUCACUCCAAAAAGUGAUACUGAGAAGAUAUGGAAAAUGUGGACAGGAGAAUUUACAAGUAAAAAAAUGCUGUAAAAGUGUAGUAGAGAGAAUAGGAGGAUCUCAUGGCAGAGAAAAAAGAAGGAAUCUCAUUUAUGCAAGAAAUAAUCACCCCUCAUCUGGGACAGCUUACGAAAAACAGAGACCAGAACAUGACCACAUCAAUGGGAAACACAUCAACUUGGUUGCAAGGGCUCACUGGCAUUAUGAAGCAAUGUCUACACAGCCAAAAUAAAUGAUCAGCCUCUGGGAUACCAGUAGUCUACCAGCAAGGCUGUAUUCAUUCUCAUUCUGAUUAAAUUAGCAUUUCU